rnacentral:rRNA from 1 species
GCCAGACUCCUACGGGAGGCAGCAGUGGGGGAUAUUGCACAAUGGGGGGAACCCUGAUGCAGCGACGCCGCGUGGGUGAAGGAGUAUUUCGGUAUGUAAAGCCCUAUCGGCAGGGAAGAAGCAAGACGGUACCUGACUAAGAAGCCCCGGCUAACUACGUGCCAGCAGCCGCGGUAAUACGUAGGGGGCGAGCGUUAUCCGGAUUUACUGGGUGUAAAGGGAGCGUAGACGGCGGCGCAAGUCCGGAGUAAAAGCCGACGGCCCAACCGUGGGACUGCUCUGGAAACUGUGCGGCUUGAGUGCGGGAGGGGCAGGCGGAAUUCCUAGUGUGGCGGUGAAAUGUGUAGAUAUUAGGAGGAACACCGGCGGCGAAGGCGGCCUGCUGAACCGUAACUGACGUUGAGGCUCGAAAGCGUGGGGAGCAAACAGGAUUAGAUACCCCUGUA